rnacentral:tRNA from 1 species
GGGGCUGUAGCUCAGUUGGGAGAGCGUCAGGCUGGCAGUCUGAAGGUCAGGGGUUCGAUCCCCCUCAGCUCCA